rnacentral:rRNA from 1 species
GCAGUAGCCGCGGGAAUACAGAGGGUGCGAGCGUUAAUCGGAUUUACUGGGCGUAAAGCGUGCGUAGGCGGCUUUUUAAGUCGGAUGUGAAAUCCCUGAGCUUAACUUAGGAAUUGCAUUCGAUACUGGGAAGCUAGAGUAUGGGAGAGGAUGGUAGAAUUCCAGGUGUAGCGGUGAAAUGCGUAGAGAUCUGGAGGAAUACCGAUGGCGAAGGCAGCCAUCUGGCCUAAUACUGACGCUGAGGUACGAAAGCAUGGGGAGCAAACAGGAUUAGAUACCCGGGUAGUCCCUGUCUCUUAUAC